GAUGAACGCUGGCGGCGUGCCUAAUACAUGCAAGUCGAGCGAACGGACGAGAAGCUUGCUUCUCUGAUGUUAGCGGCGGACGGGUGAGUAACACGUGGAUAACCUACCUAUAAGACUGGGAUAACUUCGGGAAACCGGAGCUAAUACCGGAUAAUAUUUUGAACCGCAUGGUUCAAAAGUGAAAGACGGUCUUGCUGUCACUUAUAGAUGGAUCCGCGCUGCAUUAGCUAGUUGGUAAGGUAACGGCUUACCAAGGCAACGAUGCAUAGCCGACCUGAGAGGGUGAUCGGCCACACUGGAACUGAGACACGGUCCAGACUCCUACGGGAGGCAGCAGUAGGGAAUCUUCCGCAAUGGGCGAAAGCCUGACGGAGCAACGCCGCGUGAGUGAUGAAGGUCUUCGGAUCGUAAAACUCUGUUAUUAGGGAAGAACAUAUGUGUAAGUAACUGUGCACAUCUUGACGGUACCUAAUCAGAAGGCCACGGCUAAUUACGUG
rnacentral:rRNA from 1 species